UCCACAGUUUCCCGAAGCUUCCACCAAAAUGCAGUUUGCACUGACCAUCGCCAUGGACUCCGUGGGAGCCCUUGUGCCUUGCUGCUUGCUUCUUGUCAAGUCCACAACAAUGUGAUCUCCAAGUGUCCCUAUUGAGUACUACUUCUUUGUGACCAAAAUGCCUGAUUCUGUUUUCUUCAGACACUGCCAAAUGAAUCCUGUUUCAUAUGCCCAGACUUCAAAAUUCUAAAGCAAAUGACCUGUGCUAUGACCUUUCAACAGAUGGUCCAACCUAUUUUACAGAAACAACACCAACGAGAGUCCUAGAAAGGCUAUUAAUGAGAUCCUGCUUCAUUUCUCUCAGGAGUUUUAUACUUGUCUCUUAGCUGUUUAGGAACCUAUUAUAUUCAUUAAUACUGAACAAAAGGAAG